rnacentral:rRNA from 1 species
GAAUGUGAACUGCAGGACACAUGAACAUUGAUAAGUUGAACGCAUAUUGCACGUCGUGGGAACCUACCAUGACGUACACAUACUUGAGCGCUUAUAAUUAUAAAGUGGAAACGUGGACUUACGCUGUGAUUGGUGCUGGUCACCCCGUCACUGUCGUGAAAAAUGGUGUAAGAUGUAGUCUCGUCGACUCGCUUGCAUUUAAAAAGUGUGUUGAGAGCCGCUAAGGACAGACAAGUAGAAAGGGCUGUGCUCCCGCGGACGGCGGAGGAAAUAUUCUGAGCAGGAGCGUCCUUUGCUAUGUGUAGGUAUGGAACAGGUGUCUUCCUCUUCUAUUUUAUUUUUUUAAAAUUGAGGUAAGGCACCAAAGCUUUCGACUGAGAUAGCAUGUACGCAAAUAAUCUUAAUAUGGAACCCCUGAACAACGGAACACUUAUGGCACUAGAGAACACUACCCAGAUUUGUGCAUAGCGGACGGGCGAUAAAGCAAACAACAAAGGUCAAUUAUCACUCACGAGUGAGGCCACUCGGUGGUCAUAUAAGCCUCAAGUUAUGUGUGACUACCCC